rnacentral:rRNA from 1 species
CUACGGGGUGCACCAGUGGGGAAUAUUGCACAAUGGAGGAAACUCUGAUGCAGCAACGCCGCGUGGAGGAUGACACUUUUCGGAGCGUAAACUCCUUUUAUAUAGGAAGAAGAUGACGGUACUAUAUGAAUAAGCGCCGGCUAACUCCGUGCCAGCAGCCGCGGUAAUACGGAGGGCGCAAGCGUUACUCGGAAUCACUGGGCGUAAAGAGCGUGUAGGCGGAUUAAAAAGUCAGAAGUGAAAUCCUAUAGCUUAACUAUAGAACUGCUUCUGAAACUCUUAAUCUAGAAGAUGGGAGAGGUAGAUGGAAUUUCUGGUGUAGGGGUACAAUCCGUAGAGAUCAGAAGGAAUACCGAUUGCGAAGGCGAUCUACUAGAACAUUAUUGACGCUGAGACGCGAAAGCGUGGGGAGCAAACAGGAUUAGAUACCCCGAUAGUC